rnacentral:rRNA from 1 species
CCUACGGGUAGCAGCAGUGAGGAAUAUUGGUCAAUGGCCGGGAGGCUGAACCAGCCAUGCCGCGUGAAGGUCAGUGCCCUAUCGGCGUUAAACUUCUUUUGUUCGGGGGCAAUAAUGGUCACGUGUGGCCAUACUAUAUUACCGUACGAAUCAGCAUCGGCUAACUCCGUUCCAGCAGCCGCGGUAAUACGGGGGAUGCAGGCGUUAUCCGGAUUUAUUGGGGUUAAAGGGUGCGUAGGCUGGGAGGUAAGUCAGCGGUGAAAUGCCCGCGGUCAACGGGGUGAAGUGCCAUUGAUACUGGCUGGCUGGAAUGCGGAUGCCGUGGGAGGAAUGUGUGGUGUAGCGGUGAAAUGCAUAGAUAUCACACAGAACACCGAUUGCGAAGGCAUCUUACGAAGCCGCGAUUGACGCUGAUGCACGAAAGCGUGGGUAUCAAACAGGAUUAGAUACCCCUGUAGUC